rnacentral:rRNA from 1 species
AGUGAACGCUGGCGGUAGGCCUAACACAUGCAAGUCGAACGGCAGCACAGUAAUAUCUUGCUCUUACGGGUGGCGAGUGGCGGACGUGUGAGGUAUACAUCCUAAUCUACUUUUUCGGGGGGCAUAACGUAGGGAAACUUACUCUAAUACCGCAUACGACCUUCGGUUGAAAGCAGUGGAUCUUCGCACCUUGCGCGUUUGAAUUCGCCGAUGUCGGAUUAGAUAGUUGGCGGGGUAAAGGCCCACCAAGGCGACGAUCCGUAGCUGGUCUGAGAGGAUGAUAAGCCACAUGGGAACGGGACCAAGGACAAGAGUACUGAGGGAGGCACCAGAGGGGUAUAGUGGACAGUAGGGGCGAGUAUGAUACAGCGAGACCGAGUGGGUGACGACGACCUUCGGGUUGUAAAGCCCUUUUGUUGGGAAAGAAAAGCAGCCGGUUAAUACCAAGCUGUUCUGACGGUACCCAAAGAAUAAGCACCGGCUAACUUCGUG